UACAGAGGGUGCAAGCGUUGUUCGGAAUUACUGGGCGUAAAGCGCGUGUAGGCGGCUUAUUAAGUCGGACGUGAAAUCCCUUGGCUCAACCAAGGAACUGCGUCCGAUACUGGUUAGCUUGAGUGUCGGAGGGGGUGGCGGAAUUCCCGGUGUAGAGGUGAAAUUCGUAGAUAUCGGGAGGAACACCUGUGGCGAAGGCGGCCACCUGGAAGACAACUGACGCUGAGACGCGAAAGCGUGGGGAGCAAACAGG
rnacentral:rRNA from 1 species